rnacentral:rRNA from 1 species
GACGAACGCUGGCGGCGUGCCUAAUACAUGCAAGUUGAGCGCUGAAGGUUGGUACUUGUACCAACUGGAUGAGCAGCGAACGGGUGAGUAACGCGUGGGGAAUCUGCCUUUGAGCGGGGGACAACAUUUGGAAACGAAUGCUAAUACCGCAUAAAAACUUUAAACACAAGUUUUAAGUUUGAAAGAUGCAAUUGCAUCACUCAAAGAUGAUCCCGCGUUGUAUUAGCUAGUUGGUGAGGUAAAGGCUCACCAAGGCGAUGAUACAUAGCCGACCUGAGAGGGUGAUCGGCCACAUUGGGACUGAGACACGGCCCAAACUCCUACGGGAGGCAGCAGUAGUGAAUCUUCGGCAAUGGACGAAAGUCUGACCGAGCAACGCCGCGUGAGUGAAGAAGGUUUUCGGAUCGUAGAACUCUGUUGGUAGAGAAGAACGUUGGUGAGAGUGGAAAGCUCAUCAAGUGACGGUAACUACCCAGAAAGGGACGGCUAACUACGUG